rnacentral:rRNA from 1 species
AUUGAACGCUGGCGGCAGGCCUAACACAUGCAAGUCGAACGAGUGGCGGACGGGUGAGUAAUGUCUGGGAAACUGCCUGAUGGAGGGGGAUAACUACUGGAAACGGUAGCUAAUACCGCAUACCAUCGGAUUUGCCCAGAUGGGAUUAGCUAGUAGGUGGGGUAACGGCUCACCUAGGCGACGAUCCCGAGCUGGUCUGAGAGGAUGACCAGCCACACUGGAAUUGAGACACGGUCCAGACUCCUACGGGAGGCAGCAGUGGGGAACAUCUGACAUUGGGCGCAAGCCUGAUGCAGCCAUGCCGCGGGUAUGAAUAAGGCCUUCGGGUUGUAAAGUACUUUCAGCGGGGAGGCGUUACCCGAAGAGGAAGCACCGGCUAACUACGUGCCAGCCGCCGCGGUAAUUC